UACGUAGGUGGCGAGCGUUGUCCGGAUUUACUGGGCGUAAAGGGCGUGCAGGCGGUUUGUUAAGUGCAGGGUGAAAGCUCCCGGCUCAACUGGGGAGGGUCACUCGAUACUGAUCGACUUGAAGGCAGGAGAGGGAAGCGGAAUUCCCGGUGUAGUGGUGAAAUGCGUAGAUAUCGGGAGGAACACCAGUGGCGAAGGCGGCUUCCUGGCCUGUUCUUGACGCUGAGGCGCGAAAGCUAGGGGAGCAAACGGG
rnacentral:rRNA from 1 species